UACGAAGGGGGCUAGCGUUGCUCGGAAUUACUGGGCGUAAAGGGUGCGUAGGCGGGUCUUUAAGUCAGAGGUGAAAUCCUGGAGCUCAACUCCAGAACUGCCUUUGAUACUGAGGAUCUUGAGUUCGGGAGAGGUGAGUGGAACUGCGAGCGUAGAGGUGAAAUUCGUAGAUAUUCGCAAGAACACCAGUGGCGAAGGCGGCUCACUGGCCCGAUACUGACGCUGAGGCACGAAAGCGUGGGGAGCAAACAGG
rnacentral:rRNA from 1 species